UACGUAGGGCGCAAGCGUUGUCCGGAAUUAUUGGGCGUAAAGAGCUCGUAGGCGGUCUGUUACGUCCGCUGUGAAAACCCCAGGGCUUAACCCUGGGCUUGCAGUGGAUACGGGCAGACUAGAGGCAGGUAGGGGAGAAUGGAAUUCCCGGUGUAGCGGUGAAAUGCGCAGAUAUCGGGAGGAACACCGGUGGCGAAGGCGGUUCUCUGGGCCUG
rnacentral:rRNA from 1 species